rnacentral:miRNA from 1 species
UGUAAACAUUCCCGACUGGAAG